rnacentral:lncRNA from 1 species
UCAUUUUGACCCUUGCUUGAGGGCUCAGCUUUCUUGGAAACAGCAGACUUCAGAAUUGCAAGUUAAAGGCUAAACUCCUUUUUAACUAUAUUCUAGGCUCUCAGUGAUGGUUGUCAGGCCAGCUGGGAAUCACCUUGUUCUAACAGAAACAAAAUACAGAGAAUAGGAUGAGGAGAGACAGAAAAUGAUAGCUAAUGGUUUUUCUUAAGGCAGUCAGUAUCCUCACCGCAGCGUGA